AACGCACGAGACCUGCGGACCUGCGGAGGGAUCAUCAAUGAGAAACUGCCCCUCGCGGGUAGAUCUCCCACCCUUUGUAAACUUACCUUUGUUGCUUUGGCAGGCCCGUCUCCGGACCGCCGGCUUCGGCUGGCCAGUGCCUGCCAGAGGAUUCUAAAACUCUGUCUGUCAGUGUUGUCUGAGUCUAUAUACAAUCGUUAAAACUUUCAACAACGGAUCUCUAGAUCGGAAGAGCACACG
rnacentral:misc_RNA from 1 species